GUGCAAUGGAGGCAGUCUCUCUGGCCGGGGGUCCCCCGUAACCUCUCUCUCCCCCCCCCAGGUGCAAUGGAGGCCAUCUCUCUGGCCGGGGUGCUCUGGGCCUUCGUGCUGGUUCUCCCGGCGGUGCUGGCCACGGCUCUCUGCAUCGGCUGCCGGGACACGGGCUCUCCUGCCCACGGAGCCCAGGCGGUCGGGGACUACGAGUACAAACCCCCACCUUGUGUCCCCCCCAACAGCUUCAUGGUGCUGACCAGAGCCAACUGUGAGUACCCCCCAUGCACCCCACCCCAUACCCCUGUAACCCCUUGUAUCCCC
rnacentral:lncRNA from 1 species